rnacentral:rRNA from 1 species
GACGAACGCUGGCGGCAGGCCUAACACAUGCAAGUCGAACGGAUCCUUCGGGAUUAGUGGCGGACGGGUGAGUAACACGUGGGAACGUGCCUUUUGGUUCGGAACAACUCAGGGAAACUUGAGCUAAUACCGAAUGUGCCCUUCGGGGGAAAGGAUUUAUCGCCAUUAGAGCGGCCCGCGUCUGAUUAGCUUGUUGGUGAGGUAAAGGCUCACCAAGGCUACGAUCAGUAGCUGGUCUGAGAGGAUGAUCAGCCACAUUGGGACUGAGACACGGCCCAAACUCCUACGGGAGGCAGCAGUGGGGAAUCUUGCGCAAUGGGCGAAAGCCUGACGCAGCCAUGCCGCGUGAAUGAUGAAGGUCUUAGGAUUGUAAAAUUCUUUCACCGGGGACGAUAAUGACGGUACCCGGAGAAGAAGCCCCGGCUAACUUCGUG